rnacentral:rRNA from 1 species
GGAAUAUUGCACAAUGGGCGAAAGCCUGAUGCAGCAACGCCGCGUGAGGGACGACGGCCUUCGGGUUGUAAACCUCUUUUAGUAGGGAAGAAGCGAAAGUGACGGUACCUGCAGAAAAAGCACCGGCUAACUACGUGCCAGCAGCCGCGGUAAUACGUAGGGUGCAAGCGUUGUCCGGAAUUAUUGGGCGUAAAGAGCUCGUAGGCGGUUUGUCGCGUCUGCUGUGAAAACCCGAGGCUCAACCUCGGGCCUGCAGUGGGUACGGGCAGACUAGAGUGCGGUAGGGGAGAAUGGAAUUCCUGGUGUAGCGGUGGAAUGCGCAGAUAUCAGGAGGAACACCGAUGGCGAAGGCAGUUCUCUGGGCCGUUACUGACGCUGAGGAGCGAAAGCGUGGGGAGCGAACAGGAUUAGAUACCCGGG